rnacentral:tRNA from 1 species
GGACAUAGCAAGUUAUUUGAUUAAAAGCUUCUAACUUUUAAAUUAAGCGGUGAGAUUCCGUUUCAUGUCUA